rnacentral:rRNA from 1 species
AUGCCGCGUGCAGGAAGACGGCCCUAUGGGUUGUAAACUGCUUUUAUACAGGAAGAAACACUCGUACGUGUACGAGCUUGACGGUACUGUAAGAAUAAGGACCGGCUAACUCCGUGCCAGCAGCCGCGGUAAUACGGAGGGUCCGAGCGUUAUCCGGAAUCAUUGGGUUUAAAGGGUCCGCAGGCGGUCAAUUAAGUCAGAGGUGAAAUCCCAUAGCUUAACUAUGGAACUGCCUUUGAUACUGGUUGACUUGAGUCAUAUGGAAGUAGAUAGAAUGUGUAGUGUAGCGGUGAAAUGCAUAGAUAUUACAUAGAAUACCAAUUGCGAAGGCAGAUUACUAAUAAUCAACUGACACUGAUGGACGAAAGCGUGGGUAGCGAACAGGAUUAGAUACCCUGGUAGUCCACGCCGUAAACGAUGGUUACUAGCUGUGUGGAUUUCGGUCUGCGUGGCUAAGCGAAAGUGAUAAGUAACCCACCUGGGGAGUACGUUCGCAAGAAUGAAACUCAAAGGAAUUGACGGGGGCCCGCACAAGCGGUGGAGCAUGUGGUUUAAUUCGAUGAUACGCGAGGAACCUUACCAGGGCUUAAAUGUAAGUUGCAUUAGCUAGAGAUAGCUAUUUCUUCGGACCACUUACAAGGUGCUGCAUGGUUGUCGUCAGCUCGUGCCGUGAGGUGUCAGGUUAAGUCCUAUAACGAGCGCAACCCACGUCCUUAGUUACCAGCAUUUAGUUGGGUACCCUAAGGAGACUGCCGGUGAUAAGCCGGAGGAAGGUGUGGACGACGUCAAGUCAUCAUGGCCCUUACGGGUUGGG